UGUUUGCAAAAUUCUCCUCAGCGCCGGCCCCAGCUUGGGCCCUCCCGUGGCGUCCGCUCGACCCUGCCCUUCUCUAGUCGUGUUCUCCGUGUGCACGCGCGCAGCUCCCUCACGGUGCUACCUCUGCCCUCUUCCCAUGGCCGAGCGCGCCUGGAUCUCCUCCGAGCUCGGCAUGGAUGUGCUGUGACUUCCCCAGUACCGGCCGUGGCAAGCUCUGGUGACCCCCUUCCCCAUGGCGCGCCCUUCCUGGCUCGCCGGCGAUGCUCCUGCUCCAGCUCACCAUGGCGCCCCUGCCCUCAACGCCGAGCUCGCCCUGUCGCGUGUUCCUCCAGCUCGGACCGCGCCCCUCCUCUCUGCUCGGAUCCGCCGUCGCGUCCUGCUCCCUGGUGGUCGAGCUCGCCCAGUUCGCCUCCUGUCCUCAACCAUGGAUGUCGGUCGCCCAUGGAUUGUUCACAAACUCCGUCGCUCGAUGUCGCGUCUCCUGCACCAGCGUUCCUGUUCCCUGUUCUCGGCGUCCUAACCAUGGCGGCUGAGAUCUCUCUUUCUCUGGUGCCGUGUGUGCUCACCCUCGCCCAUGCCGCGCCCCUGCGCUCGUCGCGGCGCUCCAGCUCGCCCCUGCACGCUCCUCUCCUCUAGAUCCCUCCCUCCACGCCGGACGUCGUCUGUUUCCUGGUGGCUGAGCAUAGCCCUUGCGCUCGCGCCUUCUCUGUUUAAUUUGUAGAACACCUAGGUCUGUCCAUGGUCACUCCCUUCGUCGUUGGUGUUCGGCUCCCUAUUUCAGUUUGUCGUGCCGCGCCGUCAUCGUUUCUGUCACGAGCUUGAUCCCCGUUGUCAUCGCUUCGCCGUGUUCGCCGGUAGCCGCCCCGUCGUGCUCGUCUCUGGUGCUCGCUUCGGCCGCGGACGCUGUCGAGCCCAUCGUUUUCCCUGUCCAGUGCUCGUGCGGCUUUCUGCUCGCCAACGCGUCCUCUCGGCUCACUCGACCUUAAUCCCCAUCGCGUCGUCGACCUCGCCGAUUGUCGUCGCGUCGUGCGUGCAGCAGCCCCGGAUCUGUGUAGUCUCGGUCUUGUUGUCGAUAUCGCUCGCCGUGGCUCAGCUUGCUAGCUCGUCGUUGUUUCAUCGUCUCGUCUUGAUGCCAGUCCCUACGUGCUGUCUCCGACUCGUGUUCGCGUCGACAAAAGAAUGUCAAGAAGAUGUGGAGAAGCAAGCCCUGGUCGAUGCCCCAAGUGCUCGGCAAAAGGCCGAAACAAGGAUCAUCGUCGUUUGGAUGGAUUGCUAGUCGAAAUGGUAAUCAUAUUUUGAAUCUCUAUUCUAGCUAAUUAAUUUGAUAAAUGAAUUAAAGGGAUAUUUAUCGGGAUGAUUAUUCUAUUUGUAGC